rnacentral:rRNA from 1 species
UACGUAUGGGGCAAGCGUUAUCCGGAUUUACUGGGUGUAAAGGGAGCGUAGGCGGCAUGGCAAGUCAGAAGUGAAAGCCUGGGGCUCAACCCCGGAAUUGCUUUUGAAACUGUCAGGCUAGAGUGUCGGAGGGGUAAGCGGAAUUCCUAGUGUAGCGGUGAAAUGCGUAGAUAUUAGGAGGAACACCGGUGGCGAAGGCGGCUUACUGGACGAUUACUGACGCUGAGUCUCGAAAGCGUGGGGAGCAAACAGG